GAUGAACGCUGGCGGCGUGCCUAAUACAUGCAAGUCGAGCGAAGCGGGGACGCGUGAGUAACACGUGUAUAACCUCCUAUAAGAAUGGGAUAACCUCGGGAAAACGGAGCUUAACCCGAUACUGUUAGAUGGAUCUGUGCUGCAUUAGCUAUUUGGUAAGGUAACGGCUUACCAAGGCAACGAUGCGUAGCCGACCGGAGAGGAUAAUCGGCCACACUGGAACUGAGACACGGUCCCGACUCAUACGGGAGGCAGCAGUGGAGAAUCUUACGCAAUGGGCGAGAGCCUGACGGAGCAAAGCCGAGUGAGUGAAGAAGGUCUUCGGAUCGUAAAGCUCUGUUAUUAGGGAAGCGGUACCUGAUCAAGAAGCAACGGCUAACUACGUGCCAGCAGCCGCGGUAAUAC
rnacentral:rRNA from 1 species